rnacentral:rRNA from 1 species
UACGUAGGCAGCGAGCGUUGUUCGGAGUUACUGGGCGUAAAGGGUGCGUAGGCGGUUGUUUAAGUUUGGUGUGAAAUCUCCCGCUCAACUGGGAGGGUGCGCCGAAUACUGAAUGACUAGAGUGCGGGAGAGGAGAGUGGAAUUCCUGGUGUAGCGGUGAAAUGCGUAGAUAUCAGGAGGAACACCGGUGGUGUAGACGGCUCUCUGGACCGUAACUGACGCUGAGGCACGAAAGCGUGGGUAGCAAACAGG